rnacentral:rRNA from 1 species
GACGAACGCUGGCGGCGUGCCUAAUACAUGCAAGUAGAACGCUGAAGAGAGGAGCUUGCUCUUCUUGAAUGAGUUGCGAACGGGUGAGUAACGCGUAGGUAACCUGCCUUAUAGCGGGGGAUAACUAUUGGAAACGAUAGCUAAUACCGCAUAACAAUGGGUGACACAUGUCAUUUAUUUGAAAGGGGCAAUUGCUCCACUACAAGAUGGACCUGCGUUGUAUUAGCUAGUAGGUGAGGUAACGGCUCACCUAGGCGACGAUACAUAGCCGACCUGAGAGGGUGAUCGGCCACACUGGGACUGAGACACGGCCCAGACUCCUACGGGAGGCAGCAGUAGGGAAUCUUCGGCAAUGGGGGCAACCCUGACCGAGCAACGCCGCGUGAGUGAAGAAGGUUUUCGGAUCGUAAAGCUCUGUUGUAAGUCAAGAACGAGUGUGAGAGUGGAAAGUUCACACUGUGACG